GCUGUGUAUCACGAAGAACCGGAGAACGGUUGGCGAGUCUGGAUGAGAGGACGGCGGCGGAGUCACUGUGGACGUUGUUCGCUCAGCAGAAGGUCCAACUUGACACACAACUUGAAUCCAACCAGACUGAACACUGACUCCAGGGACAGACGAGCCUGAAGGACACAGCUGUGAUGACCAUGUUCUGUCUCUUAUGGCAAAGCAGAAAUAUAAAACACUGGGUUCUUAUCUAAAGUGUAUCAAAUCAGAUCUCCACCAUGUUGCUGCUGAGGACAUCAGGUGCUGCAGUUCUUCAUCUAUGAAGAGAAAAAACAGCACUGUUAAAGAAUGUUUUGUGUUGUGUAUAAAGCACAACAGAUUUCAGAUAGAACUGUUGUACUGUGGUCUUGGUUUAUAUCCUCAUGGUGAAAUGUACAUAUUUUAAGUCCCUUCUGAUAAAAGUGCUGAAAGAAAUACAACAUUGUACAAAUACAUAAAAUGUCUUUCUACCUCAUCAGUACUAUUCAAGGUGAUAAUCUCCCACAGACCUAUUGAUAACAGUCCAAAUCAAGUCUUUCCACUUCUCUCAGUGUGAAAACAUAAUUCUAUAAUUAAUUUGAGAACUGUUUACAACAAUGAUGUGUGGAGAUUAAAAUCAUACCUAAACUGUCUAAUUCACUGUAAAACUCCAUGACAUUCGCAGGCCAUCUGUAGUUAAGGGAGCAACGCAUGGAGUGAUGUGUAGAUUACUAGUUUGAUGAUGCAUGAGGAGAGGCGGUGGUCGAGUGGCAGAAACUUGGACUAUGGGCAGAGAAGGUCUCUGGUUCGUCUUUGGUUCGACUCCAUGGAGAGACAACAAAAGUCGAACCUGGAUUGAUCUGUCCAAAAAUCCAAGAGUCUCCCUACCCUCUCUAGUGCCCAUGAGCAAGGCACCUCACUCCCCCAACAUCUGCUCCCCCGAGCGCCGUACAUGGUCGCUCACUGCUCUGUGUGUCCUGCACCAGAUGGGUAAAAAGCAGCGAUUAAAUUUCCCUACCUGCAUGAGUGUGCCUUUGCAUGUCUGUGCAUGUGUUUGGGAUGAAUAAAUGGAUUUUAAUCUUAAUCUUUUAAUCUUAAUCAGUUGUCUUCCAGUUGACCAGCAUGAAGCUGCAGAUCUCCACCAUGUUGCUGCUGGGGACAUCAGGAGCUGCAUUAAUGAGGAGCAGAAGCGUACUGUUAUGAAUGUUUUGUGUUGUUUAUGAAGCACUACUUAUUUCAGCUAGAACCGAUGUACUAGGGUCUGGGUUUGUAUCCUAAUGGUUAAAUGCACAUACUUUAAAUCGCUUUUGAUAAAACGUGACAAAGAAAUACAACAUUGUACACAUAGAUAAAAUGUCUUUCUACCUCAUCUGUAAUAUUCAAGGUGAUGAUCUCCCACAGAGCUGUUGAUAACAGUCCACAUCAAGUCUCUCCACUUCCCUCAGUGUGAAAACAUAAUUAUAUAAUUAAUUGGAGAAGUGUUUACGACACUGAUGUGUGGACAUUAUAAUGUUAUCACUACUGUCUAAUUCAAUCUACAAGUCCAUGACAGACUAAAUAAACAAUGUGAAAAUAGUAAUGGCGGAUAUACCAUCCUGUAUCAGAAUAUUGGUGAAACAGUUACUAUCACAUGAAACGUACACGUGUAGCGUAUUGAUAGUAACUCAUUAAAAAAAAUAAU